rnacentral:rRNA from 1 species
GAUGAACGCUGGCGGCGUGCCUAAUACAUGCAAGUCGAACGCUGGAGAUCUAGCUUGCUAGAUCGAAGGAGUGGCGAACGGGUGAGUAAUACAUAAGCAACCUACUCACGAAGACUGGGAUAAUCUCUGGAAACGGGGACUAAUACCGGAUAGGUAAUCGGAAGGCAUCUUCUGAUUAUUAAAGGUUAAAAACACUGGUGGAUGGGCUUAUGGCGCAUUAGUUAGUUGGUGAGGUAACGGCCCACCAAGACGAUGAUGCGUAGCCGGCCUGAGAGGGUGAACGGCCACAUUGGGACUGAGACACGGCCCAGACUCCUACGGGAGGCAGCAGUAGGGAAUUUUCGGCAAUGGGGGAAACCCUGACCGAGCAACGCCGCGUGAGUGAUGACGGCCUUCGGGUUGUAAAGCUCUGUUGUAAGGGAAGAACGGUAGAUAGAGAAUAUCUAAGUGACGGUACCUUACCAGAAAGCCACGGCUAACUACGUGCCAGCAGCCGCGGUAAUACGUAGGUGGCGAGCGUUAUCCGGAAUUAUUGGGCGUAAAGGGUGCGUAGGCGGCCUGUUAAGUAAGUGGUUAAAUUGUUGGGCUCAACCCAAUCCAGCCACUUAAACUGGCAGGCUAGAGUAUUGGAGAGGCAAGUGGAAUUCCAUGUGUAGCGGUAAAAUGCGUAGAUAUAUGGAGGAACACCAGUGGCGAAGGCGGCUUGCUAGCCAAAGACUGACGCUCAUGCACGAAAGCGUGGGGAGCAAAUAGG